rnacentral:rRNA from 1 species
CCUACGGGAGGCAGCAGUGGGGAAUAUUGCACAAUGGGCACAAGCCUGAUGCAGCAACGCCGCGUGAGGGAUGACGGCCUUCGGGUUGUAAACCUCUUUUAGUCAGGGAAGAAGCGAAAUGACGUACCUGCAGAAAAGCCCG